UAGGGAAUCUUCCACAAUGGACGCAAGUCUGAUGGAGCAACGCCGCGUGAGUGAAGAAGGUUUUCGGACCGUAAAGCUCUGUUGUUGGUGAAGAAGGAUAGAGGUAGUAACUGGCCUUUAUUUGACGGUAAUCAACCAGAAAGUCACGGCUAACUACGUGCCAGCAGCCGCGGUAAUACGUAGGUGGCAAGCGUUGUCCGGAUUUAUUGGGCGUA
rnacentral:rRNA from 1 species